GACGAACGCUGGCGGCGUGCUUAACACAUGCAAGUCGAACGGAAAGGCCCUGCUUUUGUGGGGUGCUCGAGUGGCGAACGGGUGAGUAACACGUGAGUAACCUGCCCUUGACUUUGGGAUAACUUCAGGAAACUGGGGCUAAUACCGGAUAGGAGCUCCUGCUGCAUGGUGGGGGUUGGAAAGUUUCGGCGGUUGGGGAUGGACUCGCGGCUUAUCAGCUUGUUGGUGGGGUAGUGGCUUACCAAGGCUUUGACGGGUAGCCGGCCUGAGAGGGUGACCGGCCGGAUAGAGUGGGACAGACGGACCAGGCACCCUCGGGAGGGAGGAGGGGGGGGUGAUGCAUACAGGGUGGGGGGCACACGGAGCAACCGCGCGGGCGGGAGGACGGACGUCGGGUUGUAAACAGAGCUCGCCUGUAACGAAGCGGGAGGGACGGUAAAUAGUAAAGAGGCACCGGCAAACUACGG
rnacentral:rRNA from 1 species